GCGGACGUGGCCGAGUGGUUAAGGCGCUGUGUUUAGGUUUGUUCGUAAUGAACCAUAAACGAUCCGCAGUGGGAAACCGCGCAGGUUCGAACCCUGCCGUCCGCA